UCUGAAUCUGCGUACGGCUCCGCAAACCAGUUGUAAACUAUAGCAAGCAGGCUCGGGGUCGGCUCUCACGGGUUGGCUUCGGGCGAUAUGGAUAACCCUGGUAAUUCUGAGGCUAAUACAUGAACGUAAAACCUGGUUGACUGGGCUUCGGUCUGGGAGGCUGGGGGAUGUGUGAUUGCAGGCUUGGGUAACACCGGGAAAGGGCACACGUCCAGACCGCGCUAUAAAGGAUGGGACCCCUUCGGGGGACCCGCCCCAGCGGCUCUUGCUGUGUGCUUCUGACCUAUCAACUAGACGGCAGCGUAAGGGACAUG
rnacentral:rRNA from 1 species